ACUGGAUGGGUCAGGUUUUGGCAUCCAGAAGAGGGGAUUUUUUCUUCUUUUGUCUUUUGUUUUGGGUUAUGAUCCAGAACACUGACUGACCAGUCGACGUGGAGAAGGGUGUUUAUACGUGUGUCGGCGCCACCUCGAGGGCGUGUAAACAAAGGGAGGGAAGCAAUAAGAUAGGUGCGUUCAGGCGCUCCGCUGGUUCCGGCCUUCGCUCGUACCUUCAGCUCUCUUCGUCGUGGCUGCGGCGUUCCCUGGGCCGCGGCAGCAGCAGGAGCAGCGACCGGCUGGACCUCUGGCGGUUCUCCGCCGGCGCCGCCGAAGGUUCGGCGGGUUUCUCGAAGCACGGUCGGCAGACGCAGGACCGGCGCUGCCACGAGCGUCAGCAGCAGAAGAGGCGGCUGAGCGGGACCAGGAAGGACGUUCUCCGUUCCUCGUCUCUCACCCGUACCUGCAGCAGCGCGGCCUCUACCUCUUUGUGCUCCGGCGCCUUCCGCUGUACCUCAGUAGUCUAGGGCGCGAGCGGCGCCCCGGCGCGCUCGUGCUCGACCUCGGGCACCCCGCCACCGUCCUACUAGACUGCCACGCGCCGUACCACCGUCGCGACGAGUAGCCCACGUAGAUGUGGCAGUAGCAGUACUCCUACAGCGAGUGGUGGCCUGAUCACGGGUGCGAGUUACAGAGGCGGCGCGACGAGAGGAAGGAGCGCGAGGCACCGACCUGGUCGAACGACCUGGCGAAGCCGUAGCACAGUGCUGGGAAGUGGGGUGUCCUCUUGUGGUAGCAGGUCUGUACGCCGCACCGGACGAUGUGGUAGCGAAAGCGGCCACCCAAGCCCAGUUGGAACGACCCAGAUUUGUUUUUCUGCAUGCUCGAGCGGCCGCUGAGCCACCGGUUGCCCGGCCCCUCGAUGUUCCUCGGUCCCUAACCGACCUACUGCCGUAAGGAGAAAAGAACGACGAAGCCACCUGAGGAGUGGAACUAAGGGGAAUCUGUCCAUAACCAGCAGCUGAUAUUUAAUUGAAUGGGAUCACCCUGCCGUUGACGUCAAGAAUAUUUGCCGAAGGUAUGGUGGGUCCCUCUGUUCUUAAGUUUCUUCGUUUAUGCACCCAAAGACUUUAUGAAACCCCCAUCGAAGUAUACCUCAAAGAAGGUCACCAAGAUGUGGCCGCCGCUACGAACACCCAAACAAGUCAAGGGAUGAAAACCAGAGUUCCGGACCUUCGUCUGUAAAAAGAAACUGAAGUCGUACUGUAUGCAGCCGCGACCCUACUAAACGGGCGUAUAUCAUUUACAAAGGUGGGAGGAUCCACGUUAAGAAAGUAUACCUUAUAACAUGGGUGAGUAGUCAUUUUUGUUCCCACUAACCAUGGGACGUUGACAUUUUCUCUCGUCGUACUUUUCAAACAUGCCGAUGUUCCGGAAGUAUACAUAGCGAGAAUAGAACCCCCUACCUGAGAUGGUUAAGCAGUUUUAAUAAUCGUAGUGAAAAUUCCCGUACAUAGCUGUUAAAUCGGCAUUCAUAUAGUUAUUAUCUCGCUUUUUAUACCUGUUAUGCCAGAGUGAGCUCCUAUACGUCGCGCUACUCCAGAAGUUCUCUCCGGUAGAGGGGCGAACCUACCGUAUGAGACCCAUACGGCACAAUUCGCAGCAACGUCGCUAAUGGUGCGGUUAUUACAAAGCUGUUCACUUUACCAUGAUGUAUCAAUAUCGCAUACAGCAUCGGGGGUACGAACCUAAGCGGUUGAGAAUGCCGUGUCCCGAAUGACUAUAGUUGUACCCCAUAUUGAUACCCUUCUAAUCUGAGAAGCAGAAACGCCCAACCCGACCGUCCCUGUUACCACAGCAACGUCCGGAACAAUGACCAUGUACACACUUCGUCAACCAAGAAUAUAGACGUCUAGACUACGUACUGAAGUUCUGCCCAAUAGAUUGUUUCUGUAGUGGUUCUAGGUACUACCACCGUGUCCGGUAACCAUGCCAGUACCCGACGUAGGAACGAGGGGAAUGCAAGUACGAGAAGAUGUUCCGUAAACUAUAACCGUUGGGUCUACCAAUGACCUUCCGCGGCAUACGUAACUAUAUGGCAUUAUACCGUUAUGAACCGCACCUCCCCAAGAGCCACAACGGCUUCAUAACAGAUCGUGAGAGACCACCUAAGAAGCGUAAACGUCGUGAGGAGUCGUAGCGUUCUCUACAGUACGGUGUGUCUAUAUCGUUCAUACACGGGUAUGGGUACCGGUACCGUCAGGGUAAGGAACAGCCGCCCUCGAAGCGUUAACUAUACACGCAGCCUUCAAACCACCAAAAACAGACCUUGUUCUAUUUGUUUUUCCUCCGACCAAAGUACCAGGGACGCCAACGUAGGCCAAACUAUACACCCCUACCUUAUACCUGUAAGGGAAGAAGGUAUGAACGGUAACGGUUCUAAUUUGGUGGUUAAACGUACGUCAAAUGUGGACGUGGGAUC
rnacentral:rRNA from 1 species